GAUGCCAAAUCCAGAGAGUUCUAGUUUCUACAAUUUCUGUUUUUAGCAUUUAACCUUAAGGUGUUUGAUCCCUUUGGAGUUAAUUUUGUGGAGGCUGUAAAAGGCAUUUCAUAUGUUGGGUAGCAAUCCAGAAUCAAGCUGUGAUGUAAAAGUGCAGGAUUGAUGAUGUAAAGGAUUUACUAAUGCUUAGGAGAUCGUGAGUCACACUAAGUGGAAUUUAGCCUAGGGAGGACUGCCUGUAAAACACCCCACAGAUAAGCUAACCAGGGCAGUUAGAGAUUAGGAUACAUGUGCUUGUUCACCAGGAUUGUCCAGAAAUAUGGCUCUAAACCAUAAUAAAGGAAACAACCCUGAUUUACAACCAGCCACUAGGCCAAUCCCCAUAUAAAAGAGCAGGCCUCUAACAAGCUAACCAAUGGAGCAUUACAGGAUCACAAUCAACAGUAAGGCGUGGAUGUGGCAUGUUUUGGUUUUCUUCUUGAGAAAAGCAUAAUUCUGCCACAUGGGCAAGAUGACACCUGGUGACAACCAUUUGAAAAGGAAAAAAAACCAAGGUUGUGUUCAGUGCUAGUCUGGGCCUUAGGCCCUGGUAGCUUUCCCUGAGGCCUUGAGGUAUAGAGAUAAAACAGAGCUCCUUCUCUAAAAUCUGGAAUGUGCUUGGGAGAGCUGGUAAUGGUCUGGGACCAGGCCUUUGGAAGAGGUUGCUUCAGAUUCUGAGAACACAACUCUUCCCACAAUAUGGGGUUUUGGUUAUCAGUCCCAAGGCCACUACAGGCUUGGUCAAUAAUGUUUGUGAGAUAUACUGAGUUCCCCUUGUGCAGCACUGUUUGAUUAGACUCCUGAGUGUGUCCUAUUUUAUGAUGUUUGUGCUGACUUCAUAGUUUCUUCAUAUGUUUCCUUCCAUUUUUCCCACAUAAGACAAGAUGUUAUUCUUCUUAAGAGGCUUACUUAGCAUAAGAAAUAGUUUGUGCAAGACCUGGAGCCUCAGUUUUACAUCUUCUUAAAGUUCCAUGCCCUUCCUUUUGUGUAGAGCGAUUUCUCCCUGGGAAGACAUAUUUAUUAUAGAACAGCUGCACCUUCACAGUUUCAGGAAAAUGUUUCUGAGAUAAGCUGUGUUGUCAGCUUGAUCCCAAUCUCUUGCUCUCCAAGGCAAAGAAUGCCCUUGUUUUCCUCUUGAUUAAACUUUCUAAAUCCUUAAAUAAGAGGAAUAUAUCACAACAGAGUUUUAAACUGAUUCAUUUGAGUCAUGUAAUUAACUGUCCACUGCAGCAACAGGAAAAAACGUUUGCAUUUGGAGCAUGGCUUCUGCGUUCAGAUCAGAACAGGAGGGACAGUUUACUGUGUGCACUACAGGAUAAAACAGGGUGAGCAAUAGCUGAAUCACUGACUGAAGUUUAAGGGAGUCAUCUGCAGGGGUCCCCUUCCUUUGUGAAGAAAGACCCGAUUCAGACAGGGUGGUGCUUUUGUAAUUUCGAAGCAUGUAUUAAUUCAUGGAUAUAAAUGAAAACAUACCAGAUUGGUGGGUGUACAAUUUGGAGAGUAUUGUGUUGAGCCAAUGAAUAUUGAAUUCCAAUUAGGGGACUGUCCUAUGGAGAUACGUACGGUCUUUGUUGACAUAGUUAAGUGAGUGCAGAGGGUUGAGACACCAGGCCUUUGGCUGUGGCUAUGUGUGUCAGGUUACAGGUCUCAGCAGGUAAUAUAGAACAAGGAAGUCACAGUCAAACAGUAUCUUAUUAAUGCUGUGGACCUGGCUGUCAAGUUCUCCCAGCAUCCCUCCCUCCCUACCUGUCACAGGGUAUGGCUGACAUACCCACCCUCUAGCUUAGGGAUUGGGGUGCCCCUUCUCCUAGUUGCCCUUCCUUAUGUAAUUCAACCAUUUUGGGUACCUGGUCUUUUUCGUCUGUUGUGUACCUUCCUGGCCUCUUAGUCUGGCUCCCCCUUCUCCCUUUCACCCUUUCUUCAGAAGGCUCACGGUCAGGUCUAUUCUGGACUCUCCCAGAUGCCCCUGCCCUGGCUAUGCUCUCCCUUUUAUCGAUAAUAAACAUUCUACUCCACC
rnacentral:lncRNA from 1 species